UACGUAGGUGGCGAGCGUUGUCCGGAUUUACUGGGCGUAAAGAGCGCGCAGGCGGUCGUUCAAGUCGCGUGUGAAAGCCCCCGGCUCAACUGGGGAGGGUCACGCGAUACUGAUCGACUCGAAGGCAGGAGAGGGAAGUGGAAUUCCCGGUGUAGUGGUGAAAUGCGUAGAGAUCGGGAGGAACACCAGUGGCGAAGGCGGCUCGCUGGGCCGGCCCUGACGCUGAGACGCGAAGGCGUGGGGAGCGAACGGG
rnacentral:rRNA from 1 species